rnacentral:rRNA from 1 species
UGGGUGACGAGUGGCGGACGGGUGAGUAAUGUCUGGGGAUCUGCCCGAUAGAGGGGGAUAACCACUGGAAACGGUGGCUAAUACCGCAUAACGUCGCAAGACCAAAGAGGGGGACCUUCGGGCCUCUCACUAUCGGAUGAACCCAGAUGGGAUUAGCUAGUAGGCGGGGUAAUGGCCCACCUAGGCGACGAUCCCUAGCUGGUCUGAGAGGAUGACCAGCCACACUGGAACUGAGACACGGUCCAGACUCCUACGGGAGGCAGCAGUGGGGAAUAUUGCACAAUGGGCGCAAGCCUGAUGCAGCCAUGCCGCGUGUAUGAAGAAGGCCUUCGGGUUGUAAAGUACUUUCAGCGGGGAGGAAGGC